AACAAACAUUAUUUAGAGGUACGAUAACCAUAUUCAGUGCACAAAAGAUGAAUAGUUUUUGCAAUACAUAGUACCGAGACACGUUAACUGGCGAAGAAGUUCUUGAUCAUCUGAUCAUGCAGUAGCGCUUGCACGGAGGUGAUAUAUUUAUUAAUGGAAAACUAAAUAACUUCAAAACAUGGACGUAUGCAGAAGGUUGCCAUUCCUUUUUUUGCUUUUGAAAUAUGCUGAUCAAAGCUCUUUUAUCAUAAGUGCAUCUUCUUUGCGGAAGUUGAUUUGUUUGCUUCAGUUCCGGUCCUGUAAUCCAUAGAAAAGUUUGUAAAUAAAUAAGUGGACUGUGUGAAUCGAUAGUGCUGUGAGACCCAACGCAUCUUCUUCAUUUUUAUGAUAAGUGCAUCUUCUUCUUUACCAAGGUUGCAAGUUUUGGUCUAGACCUUUUUACUCAAUAUCUAUGAACUGCAAGUUCCUUUUGAUCUGAUUCUUGUGCUCUAGCAGGUAAUCGUACCUUCAGUAUAUCUAAAAUUCCAGAUACUAUUCCAAUAACAUCUGUAUAUGUAAACAUGGUGAUGAAGAUGGAUCAGGGCUAAUCCAGAUGGUAAGCAAGACUAACAAGAGAGCCAGCCACAAGUUCGGGCAGGACUGCGUUUAAAUUAGACACGCGAUAAUUAUUCCCUUUGUUGUUUUCAGCAUUGAUUCAACAAACACGUGGUAAGUCACAUUACUGUAUUAAGUUAAAUUUGACUAAGUGAGAUAGAUAUAAUAAGUUUGACCCACUUUACCAGCUACAGAUGGACUGCUAAUGACAAUAAUCAAAUCAUGGAAAUGUCAAUAAUAACACCUGCAAAAAAAAUGUCAAUAAAAAUGAGUGGUCAUGAUAUGUGUUUUGUACUACAUAGUUCAUACCAGGACAAAAUUACAUUGGAGUAUGCAGCGAGAAGUGGCUUGAUCGACUCUUCAAAAGAGCAACAAAAUCUGGCUGCAAAAAUGACCUGUGGUUAUGCAUAAUUCAGAAGGAAGGGAAGAAAGCAAGGGGUGGCGAUUCAGGAGCUUCCUUGUAACCUGUAUCUGGUGAAGACGAAGAACUAAGGAGACGGCCACCACGAGUGCUUGGGUGAUCAUACGGGCAUGAGGAGGAGGUGCUCUACGGCCUCUUUGCUGCCCGAAUCUGAUCGUCCAAGAGGCAAAAGCCAACCAACAGGCGGGGCACUUGGAUUGGAGCAAUGGGUGGGCAAGGACGACCAGGUUCAGAUCGGAAGAGUUCCGAACGGCUAGAUGUGGCUGGCGACAUGGAGGCAUAGGG
rnacentral:lncRNA from 1 species